rfam:Cavia porcellus supercont2_20 genomic scaffold, whole genome shotgun sequence.
GGAGAUUUAGCUCAGCGGCAUAAGCACCUGCCUUGUAAGCAGGUGGUCGUGAGUUCGAUCCCCGGAACCGGCA